rnacentral:lncRNA from 1 species
UAACUUACCUGGCACAUUUUGUUUCUUGUGUCUUCCUCAGAAUGCCCUGCUGAUAUCAGAGUUUAUUUCUUUAUUUCUUUUUUCAUUUAUUUGAACCUCUGCACAUUGCAUUAGUUGAGAACUGCAAAGACAAAGAUAGAAAUAUGCCUGAAUGAAACAGCGGUCUGUGAGAGAUGCCCUUUGCUGUCUUGGCCUCAAGAUGACAACUCUGAAAGAGGAGAAAGCGUGACAGUGGGAGGAGCCUGCUAGAGGACACUGUGAUGGCUACAAUACAAAG